AGCGGAGUGGGGGCGGGGCUAGGAUGAAAAGAGGAGCGGCGAACAGGGAGCAGGGCUACGGGCGGCGAGGGACUAAGAUGUUCUCGUGGUUCCCAGAGCCAGAACCUGAGGCUCCGAUACCCUUUUCCCUGUCCUGUGGAAACGCUGACCCCUGCACUCGUCGUUCUAGGGCAUAGUUUGAAUUGUUCAUGCCUCUGGUAGAGGUUCCUCCACCAAGAAGCCUGCGGGCAUUGGGCGGUGUGAGGGGCAGUAGCCAGAAGUGGGGCCUGGAAGGAUGCCGGCCCCUUGAGGAAGACGCCCUGGAAUCCUGGAGAGGCUGUGAGGACAAGUCCAGCCUCCGAAGUCAGCCUACCAGGGCACAAAUCCCAAGCUCUGCACAUUGACUGCUUUUUCCUCAGUCUCCCCACCUGUGACUUGGGACUGUAGAGUCCCCUCACAGCACUGUCAGGAUGAUGUGCACUGACUCAUACUGGGAACAGAGCAGGGCGGUUAGCUCUCAUGGCAUUGCCAUGGAGGUUUCCAGGAAGAGUCAAAUUGCCCUCAGCCAGAGGAUGCCAGGUCAGAGAGAGAAGAGGCACAGGGCCAGCAUCUCCACCACUGCCUGCCACCUGCUCAGGAUGCAGAUGCUGGGUGGUGUACUAGAGGGGCACAAAUCUGGGGGAGAGUCCAGGCCAAGGGACUGGUGACUAUAUUCUUAUGGGGCCUACUGUUACUGAAAUUAAAGCCAAAGAACCAUGA